CCAAUAGCGUAUAUUAAAGUUGUUGCAGUUAAAAAGCUCGUAGUUGAAUUUCGGGGUUAGUAGGCUGGUCAUGCCUCCGGUAUGUACUGGUCUCACUGAUUCCUCCUUCCUGAUGAACCGUAAUGCCAUUAAUUUGGUGUCUUGGGAAAUCAGGACUGUUACUUUGAAAAAAUUAGAGUGUUUAAAGCAGGCUCACGCUUGAAUACAUUAGCAUGGAAUAAUGAAAUAGGACGUUUGAUUCUAUUUUGUUGGUUUCUAGGAUCGACGUAAUGAUUAAUAGGGAUAGUUGGGGGCAUUAGUAUUCAAUUGUCAGAGGUGAAAUUCUUGGAUUUAUUGAAGACUAACUACUGCGAAAGCAUUUGCCAAGGAUGUUUUCAUUAAUCAAGAACGAAAGUUAGGGGAUCGAAGACGAUCAGAUACCGUCGUAGUCUUAACCAUAAACUAUGCCGACUAGGGAUCGGAUGAUGUUAAUUUUUUAAUGACUCA
rnacentral:rRNA from 1 species